rnacentral:lncRNA from 1 species
AUUUCCACAAAUCUUCCAACUCCGACAACGAAGACACAACGGUGCUUCUUGGAUGCCCGACUGCUGUUCCUCCGGCCAAACCCAUAAAAUAGUGAUAUAGGGUUCUCACCGUGUUGCCUUGUCAUCUUGUUGGCAUCGAACACCUAAGUCGAUUGGGCUACUUUCAUGCUCCAAUGUCGAACCCCGCUAGGUCACAUUUUGCCAUCGCACUUGAAACCCGCUAAGUUGCUUCUCAUCGUCACCUAGAACAUUAAGGUAUACAAUAUUUUUUUUUUCUUGCUUGCUAUUUUUUAUUGGUUCCUCAUUAUUUUUUUUACUUUUUCCUUUGUAAAUCGGCAAUUUGAACACAGUUCUUCGAUGAGAGGUAUUUGCAGAAAUCACAAAUGCACAAUAAUAAAGAAAAUACUAUAACGAUGAAUAAAGCGUCAAUCAUUGGACUGGGCUAUUAAAUAUUAAUGAGAAUUUGUCCUACCUUUUUAUUUGACCAAAUUGAAAAACUCAAAUUGGUGGACAAAGUUUAAGCUAAACUAAAAAUUUAAAGAAAGCAAUUAAUGAAUUUCAUAACUUUGAUUCAAAAAAAUAUGAUGAAACAAUUGUACUGGAAAUCAUGAUUACCACAGUUUGUCAAGUUUAACUUCGCUGGACAAUAUCUUAUUCAUGUUUCAUAUUAUGUUUACUUCUUAUACAUCAGUGACCACGUAGUGAACCUAGGUUUGGGUUUAAUUCGAGGGUUUCGACUAUAAUGCUUGCCAAAAAUAAUUUUGUGAUUACCUGUUCACAUAUUUAUCGUUGUGUUUAUAUGGACUUCUAAACCUGUUUACUCAUGUUAUUGUAAGAGAAUACAUUAUGGAGGAAAUGCACAACAAGCUUGUUGAUGUUGAAGCAAAAUUUGAUGAUGAGAAAUUGGAAAGCCAUGUUAACAUUGUCGAAGGUGAAACCUCAGUGGGAGAGAAAGAGAUAGUACUUGCUGUAGGCAUGAAGUUCAAGGAUGUAGAGGAAAUGUUGAACUUCUACAAGAAAAAUGCUUAUGUCGUUGGUUUUUCAGUAAAGAAAAGAAAUUCGAAAAGGGGGGUUGACGGACAAAUGAGAUAUGUGACGUUGACCUAUAGUCGUGGAGGUGGAAGAAUUGGUAAUACUAGUUGUUGUUCAAAGCCGCAACCCACUAUUCAGAUGAGUUGUAGAGCAAGGAUAGCAGCAUCUUCUAAUAUAUUUGGAGUCUGGAGAAUUAACAAUGUUCACCUUGACCACAAUCACGAAACAAGUCCUUCAAAGUCCAUACUAUAUCGAUGCAACCGACAAUUGAGUGCCCAUAUGAAACGCAAACUUCAAGUUAAUGAUUUGGCAGGAAUCCCAUUGCAUAAAAGUUACAAUUCUGCAGUUGUAGAAGUAGGCGGUUAUGAUAAAAUGAGUUGUGUGGAAAAUGAUUUUAGAAAUUAUAUUGAACAAGUAUGGAGAUUAAGACUUGGAGAAGGGGACGCUAUAGUAAUACAAUCCUACUUUUGCAAAGAGCAAGUGCAGUGCCUAGGAUUUUACUUUAGCAUGGAUUUGGAUGAUGAAUCGUGGCUUAAGAAUGUAUUUUGGGCAAAAAAUCGUAGUAGGCGGGCAUAUAUAGAGUUUGGUAAUAUUGUUACAUUUGAUACAACCUACCUAACAAACAAGUACGACAUGCCUUUUGCCCCCUUCAUUGGUGGUAGUCAUCACGGGCAAUCAACACUGCUUGGUUUUGGAUUGGUGUCGAACGAUGAUACUAAUACUUUUUUCUGGUUUUUCAGUGCAUCUUCAAUGUAUGCAUGGCAUUAUCCCUCAAGGAAUUAUUACUGAUCAAGACAGGGCAAUACAAAAUGCAAUUCAAAUAAUUUUUUCCAACACAAAACAUAGAUGGUACUUGUGGCACAUUCUAAAGAAGUUGCUUGAGAAAUUUGGAUACCAUGAGGAUAAAUCUAGAAUAUUUCGUUCUAUACAUCAAUUGGUUUACGAUUCAUAGUUUGUUAAAAGAAUUCAAAGAGGGCUGGGCAACAAUGAUUGAUACGUUUGAUUUGCAUGAUAACGAGUGGUUGUCUGAACUUUAUAAGAAUAGAGGUCAUUUAGUACCUUGUUUUUUGAAGACUACAUUUUGGGUAGGCAUGUCUACCACAUAAAGAAGUAAAAAUAUGAAUGCGUUCUCAACGGAUAUGUGUAUUCCAAGACAUCCUUGAAACAGUUUGUCGAACAAUAUGAAUGUGCAUUGCGGAAUAAGGUUGAGAACGAAUUCUAGGCCAAUUUUAAGUCAUUUUCACAAAUGGUACCAUGUGCAAGACAAUACGAAAUGGAGCAACAAUUGCAUUCAGUGUACACCAUUUCUAAAUUAAGGAAAGCACAAAAAAAUGAGUUUACGAGGAAAGUUUACUGAGACCUAAUCUCCAGUUUGGAGGGGAACUUCAAUACGACAUAUGAGGUACUGGAGGAUGUUAAGAAUGAGGGGUGACGGACGAAUUUUUUUUCGUCCCAUUCGAGAAAGAAAAGUGUGAAGUUGUAUGUAGUUGCCACUUGUUCGAAUUUCGGGGAAUAGUUUGCCGUCAUGCAAUCGCAGUAUUGAUUCAUAGUGAUGUCCUUUUACUUCGAGAAAGGUAUAUACUUCGAAGAUGGAAGAGAGACGUUAGUAGAGCACAUGCAAGGGUCCCAGUAAACUACAAUGGUUUGGUUUGUUCUCUUGAACAGUUGAGGUACGAUGAGAUGUGUCACGCGUUUGCACAAGUGGCAGACCUUGCUGCCAAUGACGAAGGGCGAGCAAGUGUGAUUAUGGAUUGGAUAAAACUUCAGGCUGAAGACCCGAUGAUAUUAAGAAGGUCAAGUAGUGGAAGUAACGCGCUCUCACAUCACACUAUUCAAGGAGUCAAUGAGUGUACAAAAAAUGAGAAAUAAUGCUAGCAUGAACGUACGAGAUCCGACAUUGUCUAAAAGAAAAGGAGUGCCUAGGAAAUUACCAAAAAAAGGCCCGUUGGAGUCCAUUUCAAACAAAGCUAAGGUAAAUCUAAAUAAAGUAUUAUAUAAAGCAUACGAUCACCUCUUCUUGUAAUACUGAUUGCCGUAGAUGCACAUACAGAGAAGUUAGGGAUCAACGAAAGGAAAGAGACCAGUGCGAGGCUUAGUGACAUGCAAGAAAGUCCUCAUGAUACUCAGCAAGCAACCCAACAACAGCACUCCAUGCCGACGCAAUUCCAAUCAUCGUAAUAUUCCAUCACGACACCGUUCCAGCACAUAGGUGUCUUACCGACUUUAAGUUUGAUACAUCCAUCCUCAUCAAAUGUUAUAUAUACUUCACAAGGUAUGCACAUAAUUUUACAUUUAAAAUUAAUCAUGAAAGUUGUUUCGUCUAUGCACCUAUUAGCAGAUUCAUGUAUUGUAGGUCAAACUAUGCCGUACUACAUUUCACAUUUACAAGAUCGAGGAGGCUUUGACAACUGAUCUUGGUUUAUGAUAUGACAUGUGAACAACAGCAGUGGCUCCAUGAAGAUGUCAAUUGCGGAUGAGUGUUGUCGUUAAGUUAGAUUCUAUUUUGUUUAUGCUAUGAUGUUUUUAACACUUGAACUAUAUCCCACAACAUAAUCUUCCUUUUAGUUGUAAAGUGGCAGUGUACAUUCCACUAUUAGUUGUAAAAUGCAGAAUCAUUAAUCUUCCUUUUGUAUGAAUUUUUCGCUUUACUAUAUGUUUCAAAUUAUGCAUAUUAGUUUAGAUGCAAUGAUAUUCUCUGGUGUUUACAUGUGGAAGGUAUAAUUUAUUUUAACUAGUGAUUGAUUGGGGCGAAUAGAUUUUGUGCUCUUUGUUCUAAAGAUUUCGG